rnacentral:rRNA from 1 species
AUUGAACGCUGGCGGCAGGCCUAACACAUGCAAGUCGAGCGAGCGGCGGACGGGUGAGUAACGUAUGGGGAAUGCCCGAUAGAGGGGGAUAACUACUGGAAACGGUGGCUCAUACCGCCUAAUGUCGGAUAACCCAUAUGGGAUUAGCUAGUAGGUAAGGGAAUGGCUUACCUAGGCGACGAUCCCUAGCUGGUAUGAGAGGAUGAUCAGCCACACUGGAACUGAUACACGGCCCAGACGCCUACGGAGGCAGCAGUGGGGAAUAUUGCACAAUGGGCGCAAGCCUAAUGCGGCCAUGCCGCGUGUAUGAAGAAGGCCCUAGGGUUGUAAAGUACUUUCAGUCGGGAGGCGUUACCGACAGAAGAAGCACCGGCUAACUCCGUGCCAGCAGCCGCGGUAAUAC